AACUUUCGGCAACGGAUCACUUGGCUCUCGCAUCGAUGAAGAACGCAGCGAAAUGCGAUAAGUAAUGUGAAUUGCAGAAUUCAGUGAAUCAUCGAACUUUUGAACGCACCUUGCGCUCCCUGGUAUUCCGGGGAGCACGCCUGUUCGAGUGUCGUAAAAUUCUCAAACCGGGAUGCUUUUUUGUUUCUCGGCUUGGUGUUGGGCUUUGUAGUUCCUUUGAUUGGGAUGGCUGGCCUUAAAAGCAUUAGCUGGCUUUUCAUGUGGCGUUGGUUCUACUCAGCGUGAUAAUGAUCUGACCGCCGAGGACAUCUUUCGAGAUGGCCAAUUCUCAUUUGGGCUGCUUCUAAUUUUGGUCGAGCAGAUUCUGAAUCUGUUCCACUUUUUCAGCUUUUGACCUCGAAUCAGGUGGGACUACCCGCUGAACUUAAGCAUAUCAAUAAGCGGAGGCU
rnacentral:misc_RNA from 1 species